AUUGAACGCUGGCGGAAGGCCUAACACAUGCAAGUCGAACGAGUGGCGGACGGGUGAGUAAUGUCUGGGAAACUGCCUGAUGGAGGGGGAUAACUACUGGAAACGAUAGCUAAUACCGCAUACCAUCAGAUGUGCUCCACUGGGAUUAGCUUGGGGGGUGGGUAACGGCUCACCAAGGCGACGCGCCCAAUCGGGUCUGAGAGGAUGACCAGCCACACUGGAACUGAGACACGGUCCAGACUACUACGGGAGGCAGCAGUGGUGAAUAUUGCACAAUGGGCGCAAGCCUGCUGCAGCCAUGCCGCGUGUAUGAAGAAGGCCUUCGGGUUGUAAAGUACUUUCAGCGGGGAGGCGUUACCCGCAGAAGAAGCACCGGCUAACUCCGUGCCAGCAGCCGCGGUAAUUC
rnacentral:rRNA from 1 species